CUCUUAUUAGCUCAACGGUAGAGCAAAAUACUUCUGAUAUUUUGAUUUUAGUUCGAAUCUAGAAUAAGAGU
rnacentral:tRNA from 1 species